rnacentral:rRNA from 1 species
GACGAACGCUGGCGGCGUGCUUAACACAUGCAAGUCGAGCGGAGCGGCGGACGGGUGAGUAACGCGUGGGUAACUGCCCCCCUCUCUGGGAUAACAGUUGGAAACGGCUGCUAAUACCGGAAAGUGGGGGAUGACUCGGGUCUUAGCAGCUGUUUGGUGGGGUAGGGGCCUACCAAGGGGACGACGGGUAGCCGGCCUGAGAGGGCGACCGGCCACAUUGGGCUGAGAUACGGCCCAAACUCAUACGUGAGGCAGCAGUGGGGAAUAUUGCAGAGUGGGGGAAACCCUGAUGCAGCAACGCGCGUGCGGGAUGACGGCCUUCGGGUUGUAAACCGCUUUCAGCCAUGACGCGGUAGUGGCAGAAGAAGCACCGGCUAACUACGUGCCAGCAGCCGCGGUAAUUC